AACGAACGCUGGCGGCAGGCCUAACACAUGCAAGUCGAACGCCGUAGCAAUACGGAGUGGCAGACGGGUGAGUAACACGUGGGAACGUACCCUUCGGUUCGGGAUAACUCAGGGAAACUUGAGCUAAUACCGGAUACGUCCGAGAGGAGAAAGAUUUAUCGCCGAGGGAUCGGCCCGCGUCUGAUUAGCUUGUUGGUGAGGUAACGGCUCACCAAGGCGACGAUCGGUAGCUGGUCUGAGAGGAUGAUCAGCCACACUGGGACUGAGACACGGCCCAGACUCCUACGGGAGGCAGCAGUGGGGAAUUUUGGACAAUGGGGGCGAACCCUGAUCCAGCCAUGCCGCGUGCGGGAAGAAGGCC
rnacentral:rRNA from 1 species